GAUGAACGCUAGCGGCAGGCUUAACACAUGCAAGUCGAGGGGCGGCGCGGGAUAGCAAUAUCCUGGCGGCGACCGGCGGAAGGGUGCGUAACGCGUGAGCGACAUGCCCGUUGCCCGGGGACAACCGGUGGAAACGCCGACUAAUCCCCGAUGGGAUAUUGUGCCGCAUGGCACGAUAUUGAAAGUUACGGCGGCGACGGAUUGGCUCGCGUCCGAUUAGCUGGUUGGCGGGGUAACGGCCCACCAAGGCUGCGUUCGGUAGGGGUUCUGAGAGGAAGGCCCCCCACAAUGGGACUGAGACACGGCCCAUACUCCUACGGGAGGCGGCAGUGAGGAAUAUUGGUGAAGGGGCGGAAGCCUGAACCAGCCAUGCCGCGUGCGGGAAGGAGGCCCUAUGGGCUGUGAACCGCUUUUGCCUGGGGGCAAUAAGGGCGUCGCGCACGUCCGAUGAGAGUACCAGGCGAAUAAGCAUCGGCUAACUCCGUG
rnacentral:rRNA from 1 species